AGAGUUUGAUCAUGGCUCAGAAUCAACGCUGGCGGCGCGCUUAACACAUGCAAGUCGAACGAGAAAGUGGAGCAAUCCACGAGUAAAGUGGCGCACGGGUGAGUAACACGUGGGUAACCUACCCUCGAGUGGGGAAUAACCUGGGGAAACCCGGGCUAAUACCGCAUACGUUCCUUGGGGCGCAAGCCCUGAAGAGGAAAGGCGAAAGUCGCUUGAGGAGGGGCCCGCGGCCGAUUAGGUAGUUGGUAGGGUAAUGGCCUACCAAGCCUUUGAUCGGUAGCCGGCCUGAGAGGGCACACGGCCACACUGGCACUGAAACACGGGCCAGACUCCUACGGGAGGCAGCAGUGGGGAAUCUUGCACAAUGGGGGCAACCCUGAUGCAGCGACGCCGCGUGAGCGAUGAAGCCCUUCGGGGUGUAAAGCUCUUUUGGCGGGGACAAUCAUGAUGGUACCCGUCGAAUAAGCUGCGGCUAACUACGUGCCAGCAGCCGCGGUA
rnacentral:rRNA from 1 species